AAGUCGUAACAAGGUUUCCGUAGGUGAACCUGCGGAAGGAUCAUUAACACGUAUCCAACGUUAAACCCCCCUGUGAACCUUUAUUCUGUUGGAAAGUGGCAAUCCCUGGUAAAUCAUCGCCGAACAGUUUUGAUUCAGGGACUUCUGCGAAGAGUGCUGGUUGUAGCGCGAGGCAAGUGCUUGUUAGUGUCUGAAAGUGUCACUGGCUCUGUAAGAAUGGCGCAGUCACGAUCGCUAGAGGCCGACACGGCCGGCGACCGGGUCACCGGGCUCACGCCCCCUAAUCAUCCCUUUGCAUGAACGUGCGCUUAAUUGUGCGGCCAUAAACCGAACAACUGUUAACAAUGGAUAUCUUGGUUCUC
rnacentral:misc_RNA from 1 species